ensembl:lncRNA
CACAAGAGCUAAGAUACACCCCUCCCAUGCAACGGCACCCUCACUGAGAGGAAGACAAGCCCAAGCAUCCUCCUGAACAGCAAAGGGAGGCAGCAGGGCUCAAUGAGAUCUCCCAAGAAAAUAGCAAUCAGGAAGCAGCGAUGAGGGUAUAUAACCCAGAGAGAUUUACCAAGGUUUUCCAACCCAAGUCCUACCGUCAGCUCUCAGAGAAGCAUGCAGCCUGAAGAGGAACCCCAUUUAAUCCUAGAUCCCAUAGGUCCGAGACUCACCUCUCCUGGCUCUUCUGGUGAGUCCCGCAGAUGGUGAUUGAGUUUUUUUGGCUCUUCCCAGCGAGGAGGUUUUUCAGAUUCGCAUUUAUCAAAUGAUUCUUCCCCUCUGGUGUCAGUGAGGUGGGAUUUUGGCUGUCUGACCUCCCAUGGGUUGUAAUUUGGGUGGCACUUUUUUAAUCCAUUCUGUAGCAAGUGGCAGACAACAGGAAAUUGGUUUUGUUAGCCUUGCUUGUUUGUUUUUGUCUGUCAUAAUUCUGGUAUUUUCUGUUACUGAACCAAACUUUCGUCCUCUCACCUGUGCACAGUAAAACCAAUCUCCUGACACUAGUUUGUGGUGAAGGGAAAGUUUGGUGUUUUAUUGUGGAGUUCCAAGCAAGGAGCUCAGAACAGCUAGUGCUCAAGAUACCAGAACUCCUCAAAGGGGUGCAACAAAGCAUUUUUAAAGGCAAGGUGAGGGCGGGGCGUUCCAGGGUUGGUGAGCAGCUCAGGCACAGUUCUCUGAUUGGUUGAUGCUGAGGUAAGAGGGCGGUGUCAGAGGGGUUAGGUUAUCAAUCCUUAGGCACCAGUAGGUCUGGGGGCUACAAUCAGUUGAUCAGGUAGUUAAUUCUUCCAUUUGGUGAUGAUUUUAAACAUCUGAAAAACAUCUCAGGAAAUAUGCAUCAGCUACUAUUAUCUAGGUACUUCAGAGAGGACCUACAGCAGAGGAUAGGGAGGAGGGGAUCUGUCCUGGGAAGGCCCCAUAGGGUCCUGCUAAGUUACAUUUCCUGGCAUUUGUAACUGUCUGUGUGAUUAAUUGUUAUUAUCAUGGGCUUCUGAUCAGAGUUAGAAUACACUGUAUAUAUUGCAUGUACACCAAUGUUUAAUUCUAAGGCUCAGAGCCGCCUUCUAAAACCUCUAGUUUUUUUCAUUGUCAGUAUCUGCAAAAUGGAAUUCUGAUACCACAGAUGAUAAAAAUAUACAGUAGACUUCUAUAGGAAUUUUUGGCUAAUAAAGGACAAUAUAUCUAAGGGAUCUUAAAACAGAAAGGAAUAAAAUCCUUAGCAUGCAGGGAUCAGCUUUCUUUGACUAGCACACCUAAAUUAACACGGAAUUACAAUCCGUGUUCCUUCAGGACUCUUUAAAUAAGGCUCAAGAGGGAGUCCCCAUGUGAUACAGUGGGUUAAGGACCUGGCAUUGCUGCAGCUGAGGCACAGGUUGCACCUGUGGCUCAGGUCGAACCCCUGGCCUGGAACUUCCACAAACUGUGGCGUGGCCAAAAAAAAAAAAAAAAAAAAGCUUGAGAGAGAGAGAGAAGAAACUAUGUUAUUAAAAUUCAGGCAAUUAAAAGAAUUUAUAGAAGAUGCCUUUUACAAACCUUCUAGAACUCUCUGUAUCCAUGUUAGUUUGUCUCAUUUUUCCAUGCAAAACCCACCAACUCUUGAAAAAAGUCAUUCUUUCUCCUUAACAGAAUGUAUUUCUUCAAGCUUUCUUUUGCUGAAAACACAUCCUACUUUUCUUGCAUACUGAAAUGUUUCCCUUAUCAUCUUUAGGGUUUUAAUUGAAUAUUACAAUUUUAACCCUUAAAAACCAUAAUCUCUAGCAAAACCAAGCAAGCAACAAGUAGUUAUAAACGGUCGUACCAGCAUUUCCUGACUGGAAUAUCCCACAAACUCUAGAAACAUAUAAGAAGUUCUUUCCUCAUUGUGGUACAAGAUAUGUGUCUAGGAGUUCCCGUUGUGGCUCAGUGGUUAAUGCAUCCAACUAGGAAGCAUGAGGUUUCGGAUUCAAUCCCUGGCCUUGCUCAGUGGGUUAAGGAUCUGGCGUUGCCCUGAGUUGUGGUGUAGGUUACAGACGUGGCUCAGAUCUGGCGUUGCUGUGGCUGUGGUAUAGGCUGGCGGCUACAGCUCCGAUUAGACCCCUAGACUGGGAACCUCCAUAUGCCGCAGGUGCGGCCCUAGAAAAGACAAAAAAAAAAAAAAA